GAAUUUGAAGAUACUCUUGAACAACCUCCUGAGAAGUCAUGAUUUGAUGGGGUUACACAAUCAAGGCUUGUAGAUCUUAGGGUUGAAGAGGUCCUUUGGUUGCAAGAGUUAGAACUAGUGAUGUGUUAUCUUGGAGGAUAUGAUUCAUUGAUCAUACAUUAAGAACCUGCAAUCGAAAAAAAGGUAGUAUAAAAUGUUAGAGUUGUCUGAACGAUU
rnacentral:lncRNA from 1 species